ACAGAACAAACAGUCCCAUCUACCCAUCCAUGAGGAAAUGGAGAAGAAUUUGUGCCUGUGGAAUUUGAGGACCCAAUUUAGUUUAAAAUAGAUAUUUCAUGUCCAGAGGCUGUGAACUGUUUUCUAAGCACGAGCUCUUACUAAUGUUUGUCAUGCUGCUGUAUGGCUCAUUUUACUUAUUGUUAGGUUUAUUCUUUUCCUUUUUCAGAAAUAUUCACAAUCUAAUGAAGAAAUAUUCAUUGAGGAAGAGCUCUAUGGCCUGGGAGGUAUCAGUCUUCUCCAAGACAUCAAUUUUACUUGCUUACAGAACAUAAAAAAGAAAUUUUAUGUGAUAAAUGCAUUAAUCUACAGCUACUUAUGAUUAGGCUGUUCUGGCUAAAAUGGAAUACAUUAUCUGUAAGACAUCUUUCAUACUCCCAAGGCACUUUAAAAUAAUGAAAACAUAUAAAAUAAUAUCUAAGUAAUUAAAGUAAUGGCAAAUAAAAACUUAGCAUUAUAUGGAAUUGCCUAUCGGAGUAAUAUAUCUCUUUUUAUAAGCCCUUUGUGAUAUUGCUAUUAAUUUUUAAGUAACAAAAUAUUGCUCUUGAACCAAAAAUGGGAUAUUAACUAACAUAUACACUAUUAAUUGCUUUACAAAUGCAAAGUGCUAAAUUCCAGCUCAUAAAAAUAAACCUUUGAGGAUAUCUAAUAAAAUCUACACACAGUGCCUGCUUCUGAAUCAUCUAAGGAGUAGAGGAGACUCCUCAUAU
rnacentral:lncRNA from 1 species